rnacentral:lncRNA from 1 species
GUCGUCAGUCUCUUGGACAGCGCGCUCCUCCCAGCUCUUUGUCCCCCCACACUGCUCCAGCUUUCACCACGCCUAUGCGCUGCUACUCUGCCACACCGUUUCCUCCAUUCCUACUCGAGCUCCCAAGCGCUUGCUCAUGGUGUUUCCAGCUCGUGGCUGCCCUGGUUGUGCUCUGCAUCACAGUUCUCCCAGCCGUUGUCUACCUAGCACCAGCAUGAAGCCGCUCGGACGUCACCUUCCUCACCCCGAGCUCGCACGGCCUCGUCGGGACUGCGCCGUCGUCUCCUCUUGUGGCUGAACGUCGCAUUGUUUCUGCUCCUUGCCGCGGCUUCCACUGGCAUGCUCGGACUCGUCCGGGUGCCGACCUCCUCCACGCGGUGCUCGGGACUUCGUCGGUGCCGUCUGGCCAUGCUCGUCCCGCUACACGUCUUCAUGUUCCUCUGCGUCGAUCUCGCUUCGCCGAAGCAACAGCAACACCAGCGUGGUCUCCUAGCUUGGGAAAGAAUUUGAUGACUUGGGC